UACGGAAGGCAGCAGUGGGGAAUAUUGCACAAUGGGCGCAAGCCUGAUGCAGCCAUGCCGCGUGUAUGAAGAAGGCCUUCGGGUUGUAAAGUACUUUCAGCGGGGAGGAAGGCGAUGCGGUUAAUAACCGCGUCGAUUGACGUUACCCGCAGAAGAAGCACCGGCUAACUCCGUGCCAGCAGCCGCGGUAAUACGGAGGGUGCAAGCGUUAAUCGGAAUUACUGGGCGUAAAGCGCACGCAGGCGGUCUGUUAAGUCAGAUGUGAAAUCCCCCGGGCUUAACCUGGGAACUGCAUUUUGAAACUGGCAGGCUUGAGUCUUGUAGAGGGGGUAGAAUUCCAGGUGUAGCGGUGAAAUGCGUAGAGAUCUGGAGGAAUCCGGUGGCGAAGGCGGGCCCCUGGGACAAAGACUGACGCUCAGGUGCGAAAGCGUGGGGAGCAAACAGGAUUAGAUACC
rnacentral:rRNA from 1 species